GAAUCGCCGAAUUGGUACUCUGCAAUAGGUGUACUUAUUGUGGAAUGUUGCUGGGACACAAGAUGAAGGAAUCUUAAACAAAACGCCUCUGAAAUGGCAACACAGAUUUAUUCAAAUAUAUGUGAGAAGUUCGUGACAGAUUGACCAAAUUACAAUUGUAGUGAGAAUUCAGAAACCACAUAAACAUUAAAUGAAUAUUUGUCCAAAAAUAAUGAUGUAUCAUCUGAGGAUUCGAAGAAGACGAUUUCCCACUGUUCGAGUAACUGAGAUCCACGGAGUAACAUACCACUUACUAAGACCGCUGCUAUCACCACCGGAUGCGGUCCAUCAAUUCUUAAGAUGGGCAAUUCGGACGCGGAAGUUGACCACUCACAAUCCGACAAUGAAUCACCGAAAAUUCUUCACCAGAAUAACGAAUCAAAAUUACAUUGGAUCGAAUACCAUCCAACAGUCACAAAAUCGUCAUUAGGGUUAACGUAACGAAUGAGGGUGAGCACACGAGAAGAUUUAAUGCACCGACAAUAGACAAGUGAUUGUUGGAAAUAUCCUGCUUCAUCGUCGAAUUAAUAAAUUUAAGCGUUUCAUUUAAUGACGAAAUUUAUCGAAAUUCAAACCGUGGACGACGCAAGUUUGAAUAGGGUUGAUAAUCGCAGAACAAACUUUGAUAAUAAUACUAAUAAAAUAAAUUGUAGGUGACACAUGUAAGUCUACCAGGUCAUCUAGUAUAAUCUAGUAUAAUAUAUAAUCUCAAAAUCAAUUCACAACAAUGUUUACAAGCUAAAUAUAAUAAAUUUAAUUUGUAAUGUUAUAGAAAAGGUUUAUAACCUGCUGCCUGAUAAACGUUGGUGACAGUUAAAUACAACUUAUAUGUUAUAA